rnacentral:lncRNA from 1 species
AUGAAUGUAGAUAUUGUGCAGAUAUUAUAUACAGUUACAGUAUAUAACAAAAUAAACCUUUGGUUUGGUUUUACUUCAAUAAUUAGGGGUGGUAACUCUGAAUGUUUUAACAUCCCAUCUGAAUCGGCGAAUGACAGCAGCAACAUUCCCAAAGAGGAAUCCAGCACAUCAGAAGAAGUGGAGGGAAAAGGAGGGAGUUUCGAGAACCCAGCAUACAGUGAGGAUUCCCAGGGAUCUUCUGCUGCACCUACUGCUGUAGCCACUGUCAUGAAUGGGCCUGCCAAUGAGAGUGUUGAAAACCCAAUGUAUGCUGCUGAGUUGAGCUUUCUGACCCAGCCAAAUGAUGGUCCAACCCCUGUCAAUGCAGAUGCCACACCAUUGAACACUGAGCCUGACAAGGCUGAUACUUCACAGCUACAGAACGGGGUGGAUAUGCAUGCUAUGUUCGACAAUCCCUUAUAUAUGGAUGCACCACAAUCACACAGCAAGGGAGAAUCUACAAUCUAA